UACGGGGGGGGCAAGCGUUGUUCGGAAUUACUGGGCGUAAAGGGCGCGUAGGCGGCGGGGUAAGUCGGGUGUGAAAUCUCAGAGCUCAACUCUGAAAUGGCACUUGAUACUGCUCUGCUAGAGGAGUGGAGAGGAGAUUGGAAUUCACGGUGUAGCAGUGAAAUGCGUAGAUAUCGUGAGGAAGACCGGUGGCGAAGGCGGAUCUCUGGACAGUUCCUGACGCUGAGGCGCGAAGGCCAGGGGAGCAAACGGG
rnacentral:rRNA from 1 species